CGUAGCAGCUGAGGCCGCCGGGACUGCCCUGGAGGAAGCCUGGGAGAGAGGGGACAGAGAAGUUUUCCGAGCGUCUUGCUAAGCUCGGCGUUGUGCAGCUGCGGGUACUGGUCGGCCAGUUUCUUUCUCGCCGCCUGCGCCCACACCAUGAAGGCGUUCAUCGGUCUCUUCACGUGGGAUCGACCUCGGCCGGAUGCUCUGAGGCCGGGAAAAUGAUACUCGUCAGGCAGACGGACCGACAGACUGGACAACCAAUAAAGCAGCCG